rnacentral:piRNA from 1 species
UAUUAAAAUAUGCUGAGAUCAAUUGUCC